GACGAACGCUGGCGGCGUGCUUAACACAUGCAAGUCGAACGGAAAGGCCCUUCGGGGUCCUCGAGUGGCGAACGGGUGAGUAACACGUGGGUGAUCUGCCCUGCACUUUGGGAUAAGCCUGGGAAACUGGGUCUAAUACCGGAUAGGACCACGGCAUUCAUGUGCUGUGGUGGAAAGCUUUUGCGGUGUGGGAUGGGCCCGCGGCCUAUCAGCUUGUUGGUGGGGUAAUGGCCUACCAAGGCGACGACGGGUAGCCGGCCUGAGAGGGUGACCGGCCACACGGGGACUGAGAGACGGCCCAGACUCCUACGGGAGGCAGCAGUGGGGAAUAUUGCACAAUGGGCGCAAGCCUGAUGCAGCGACGCCGCGUGAGGGAUGACGGCCUUCGGGUUGUAAACCUCUUUCGCCAGGGACGAAGCGCAAGUGACGGUACCUGGAGAAGAAGGACCGGCCAACUACGUG
rnacentral:rRNA from 1 species